rnacentral:misc_RNA from 1 species
GUAUAUAACUUUAUGGGCAUCAAAGACCCAGAUCAACAUUCUAUUACAUUCGUAGGAGUAUGUGAGAAACAUAGAACCUAGAGAGAGAGACAAGGAAAAGCUGGCACUCGCACAGCAGUCCCCAAAAUUCUAAGGUCUACAAAAAGGUGCACAGGUGGAAAAACAAACAAAUAAAUGACAAGCGUGCACACUACCCUUACAAGGGCCAGCAACAGCCUAUCAAAUGUUUAUUCAAUAAUGAUCCUUCCGCAGGUUCACCUACGGAAA